UGUUUCUAUCAUUAAGACAGUUUCUAUCAGCCCAGCAGAUGGCAGCCUCAUAAGCUACUACAGCACUUGUGUUGCUGCUUUAAACAAAGGCUGAUGAAUUGUUGGUGCUCUAAAGGAGGAUUGAAUUAAGCUCGCUGGAUAGAUAGGCCUCUUUGGGCUUCUGCUGAUCGUCGGCCUGCUAUGGGACUUCUUUGAGAAGGAUGAUCAUUUUGAGUGCAAGUGUGAGGUCGUCUCUUCAGUGAAUUACAUUGCUUUGAUAUUAAAUCAUCAGAGGAGGAUUGAGCACUUAGGUUUACCUGCUACAUACCUCUCCCAACCCUCCAGAUGUGUAAGUUUUCAUGUUUAUUCAUGAAAUUAUUUAUACAUGUAUUUUACAAUCUUAGUAAAUCAGUGUCACAUGACAUAAUCUGGUUCAUGCAUU